GUGCAGGAGGUGGGUUCUGCUUUCGGAAGGUGAUACUCCGCUCACUCCCCGUGCACCUGUUGGAAUCCAAGCCCUAGUUCAGCAUCCCUGGCUAAGGAGAUUGCAAAGCAGCUGCUGAGGACCCAUGUGUUGAUCUCACAUCAGAUCUGAUAUUUGCUGCCAUUGAG